UGCCGCUUGUCAGCGGCAUUUUGGCGGAUGCUUGUCCGCCACCACGGUCCUCCGGGGCUUGUUGUCUGGCGGGUUGGAGACCACUGGUAUAUACUAAAUAUAGUAUAUAUUUAUAGCAGACAGGUCAUGGCAAUAAACAAAAAAUUCAUCCCCGUGACCUAGCUAUGACUUAUACAAUAAAUACUCCUGGCUAAAUCUUGGGGGCUGUUACUGCAGAGGGCACCCUGGGGGGCUGCUGCUGCGGGGGGGCCUCCAGAGCAGCUGGUGCUCCAGCCACCCCACGGACUGCUGCUUGGGUGGUCCCCAGGGCCAGGCGCAACAGCCAGUUCGACUGGCCCUGGGACUACUCCAGCCACAGCAGCUGCAGGGCUACUCAAGCAGCUGGUCCCGGAGCCAGCUGCGUAGGCGGCCUUAAGGUCAGCCACACUGGCCACUGCAGAAGUCAUGGAGGUCGCGGAAUCCGUGACUUCCAAGACCAACAAAGAGCCCUACUCAUAAGAGUCUUUAGAAACCUUGGUCCAAACCUGUCCCUAGCGUGUAACACCGUUGACUUCUGUGGGCUUACCCCAGGGAUGAGUUUGGCUCCUUGUCUGUUAGUGUUACAGAGCUUACUACAGGCACCAAAUGUAGGUUGUGAAUUUUUUUUAAACGGGAAUUAAUUUUACAAGACUAUGAAUGGAAUAAUUUUAAUAUUUAAUUGAAAGCAAUUUUGUUUUAAAUUAAGUUCUCCUCUUUAGUGUUGGAAGUUUAGAUGUGGUUGUGUUGGGUGACGGGAUGAGAAAUAGAAAAUGAAACUGACUAUAAAUGGAAAGCGCAACUGAUCACUUUAGUUUCUUCGCCUUAAUCUGAAAGCAGUGUGAAAAAGGUACAACAAACAGUAUAUCAAAUAUGAUGCAAAGUACAUGGAAUUUGUAAAGUUCUUUCCAUUUGAGGGGCACAGAAACUACACAUACCCCUCAAAAUACAGCAGUAAAACUUCAUUGUGCAAACUUGUAUCUUAAGGCAGGACUCCUUAAAACCUCUUCACCAUUAAGCCCUCAAAUCAUAAACCCUUUCCCAGUUCCUCCCUGGAAUAAGACACAGCAUUUAUAUAGUGUUAUACCUCCAUUCUAUGCACCACCGUGGCUACACCGGAGCCAUGUAAACCUGCUGCUGUUACACCCCCAUCCACAUAGGUUAUCCCCAUAUUACUAACGGGGAAAGUUGAAAUCCAGGCAGGUUAAGUAACUUGCUCAAGGCCACACAGCAUAUCAGUGGCAGAACCAAGAUUACAACUCAGGUCUCCUGGCUCUCAGACUGUGCUCAUUCCUACAGGCCAUACUGCCUUUCUAAAAAGGUGGGCUGUGAACCCUUUGGCUCCAUACGGGAACCAAUAAUGCCUGGGAGAACAGGUGAUUUUGGUAGUGCCGUGCUACAUGUCAGCCAGAAAAUGAGUAGCCUGCUGUACUGGAAGCCAGGAAAGGGAAACCAGCUUUCUAGGCUACACUUGACCAUCUUCCUGGGUACGUAAAGAGCCAGGAUCUGCUGAAUUGAAAUGAAGUCAAGCCCAGGAAGUUCUGAAGACGUUGACUGGUGCACGUGUUCUAUGGAAUGGUUGCUAUUUGAUGGCCUUUUGUGAUGUUGCUAUGGGAGCAAGUAAAUAUCCCCUGCUAGGUUCCAGCAAUUCCAGGUGGACUCUGUGCAUCGUGGAUUUUGUGAUCCUUCCAGAGUACUUGUCCUACUCUAACCUACAUGGAAGAAGGACUGCGUGUGUUGCUGUUCCUGAGCUCUGAGCUGUGGUUGCUGGGGUGCGUUCGUGGUGCCAGUAUGCAGCAGAUUGUAGGGGAUCAGCUUUUCCACUGGAAUAACUGGCAGCCUUGGGUCUGCAUGUGCGAGUUACACAAACAGGCGCGAAUCCGGCACUUUGUGGUUUCGGCUGAAAACAUCACCGUGAACCUGAAGACGGGUGAAUUCUGGGAGGAAAAGGCCUGCUCCUUGCUGGAUUGCAUCAUGUGUAAGCCAGAGGAGUGUCCAGGCAGCCCUAGGCUAUCUGGCUUCUUGCCCCAAUUUGAACAUCUCUCCGUUUCAAAGUCCAGCAACGCUAACCCACCUCCCAUGAGCAUCACUGACUUCCAAUCUUAUGAGAGUCUCCCGGUGGUGGAUGACACAGGUGAGAAGUAAUGGUCUAGAGAGGAGUGAGGUGUAACUUUCUGGUGAUUGUGCUUCACUCUGCUGCAACAGAAAGGACAGGACUGAGGACAAGGCUUGCAGAGCGCAUGGCAACAUGGAGCAGAAGAAAUACACUCUGCUGGAGCAACUGCUUGAACUGGACUAGAGAAUCUGGGCUGGAUGACUAAGGGCUGCAUUGUUGGGUCAGCUGUCAUGGAGUUCUGAGUCAUACAUCAGCUGAGUUUGAAUAAAGUUAAAUGGAAAUGUAAUCAUCUUUGGAAAUUAACUUUUUUCCUUUCCUCAUCUCAUGCGGCUCCCAUAUACGAAAGAAACCACUGGGCCAAAGGCAGAGCUGGCAUAAACCAGUCGAGAUGCACGCCCUUACAGCUGGUCUGAAUUUGGCCCUGCAUUUGGUUUCUGUUUGUCCUGCCCUUGCCUCUGAACUGCAGCAGUCUGGAAACGCUGCCCACUCGUGGAACUUUUUACCCUUGGUAUCGUGGUAACAAGUCCAAUGAUACUGUGUUGGCCCAGCUGGACAUUAGAACCGUCUCUGAUUGAGAGCCAAGUGAGCCUUAGAACCCCUUCCUCCACUGACUGGGCCAGGCCCCAAUAUGCUCUUCGUUUCUUGAGCAGUAGGAGGGCCGUAUUUCCUCAGAUGAGGCUCCAGAGCCAGAUCAGACCCUAGGAUCAUUUUCUCUCCUUACUUAGCUGAACUGGGCCCCAGAUCCCACUCUGUUCCUUCUUUUGCUAGGUGGUCAUGAAACUUUUUCCUCUCUCAGUAACUGCACUAGACUCUGGACUAUUCCUCUUGUCCAGUCAGCGCGCGCAAGGAGAGAGGCUGGGAACCCUCUGCUGAAUGGGCUGGACACGGAUUUCUCUCAUGCCUCUCUGACUGCGUCCUGGGAUCUCCUUCCCAAGUACAAGGCAUGAUUAGAUGUUCAGGAGCCGGGCUCUGAUCCCAUUUUCAUGAGGUAAAACUGGAGUAACUGAUGCAAUGACUCCGGAUCUGUGUUGGCGUGAUUGCAAUCACAGUUCUGUUAAUCAGAAUGGAAUUAACUAGUUCUGGGUAAGAACAAGACUCCUUUAGCCCUUUGGUAACUGACUAAUUGCAGUUAGUUGGCCAAAUCCUCCACUAGUGUAAAUGGGCAUAACUCCACUGAUGUCAACGGGGCCACGCUGAUUGACACCAGCUAAGGAUAUGACCCAUUGUUGCACGUUGAGUAGCUUUCAAAAUGUCUGCCAACCCCUUUUUGACUAUUUGAACCACCUUCUGAUCAUCAAAAGUCUUGUCCUUCCCUCCCUCUUCUCCACCCCCUCCCCCCCAUACUUCAUUAUGUAGAACACUGUCAUGCGGACCUGCUGGCUCAGAGCCUCUGGGGCUAUACUCCUGGUGUUUGCCCUCAGCAGCAGGGGUCUAUCUUUGUAGGAAACUAAAUUUUUUUCCCCCUUUGUUAGUCACCAGAACCCUCCAAUCCUGCCCCUGUGCUACUAGCCUCCAGUUAUCCCCAUUCUUGUGUUCUCAGGGCCUUUGUGUGUGUUUGGGAACUAAAGCUUUCCCCAGAGGGCACCAUCUCAGAUGGAGUCAUCGUCUUUCUUUUGAGCCUAGUUCAUCCCAAGGCUCCUGAGCUGCUAACGCCAUUCCCUUUGCAGUCCGCUCUGGCACACUUGACCUUUGAACAUAAGUGCCGACUUUGAUUUUUUCCCCUGAGGUUUUCCAGCCCUUCUCCUUCCCAAAGCCCGAGCCCCCACUUUGCCCCUUCCCCAAACGCCCCACCCUUCCUCCACCUCUUCCCACCCCCACUUGCCAAGGCCCCUGCCUGUCCACCGCUGGCUGCUCUCCGCUUUCCCUCAAGCCUCUCCUCGAGGCACCAAACAGCUGUGGCCGGUGGAUGCUGAGCACCCACUAUUUUUUCCCCAUGAGUGCUUCAGCUCCAGAGCACACACACAGUUGGUGCCUCGGCCUUUGUAGUGGCAGGAGAUUCUUACUAACAUUAAUUUUCAUGUUAACCCCCUUUGGUUUGUUUUCUCUCUGAAUUGGUUUAAUGAGCAAUCUGAGGUUUCUACUUUAAGUAUGUGUGUGCUAUUUUUCUGAAGCAUGUGACAGCUAGGUUGUGUAUUAACGCUGUGCAUGAUUAGAUGACUUUUUUUUUCAUGUUACUUGUAUAGCAAUGGCACGCAUUAUAAUAAAUGUAUGUCAUUUGUUUUUCCAACAUGAGCCUAACUGAUGCCUAGAUUAGAGUGUGGUUCUACUCGGAGAAGUGACUCCAUGAGAAUGACUUUGUCUCUUGGUGUUGCUGGAUCAAAUGUGUUCAGUUUACAUGUAUUUGGAGGUGGGUCCCUAAUGGCCACCUCUGCAAAUUCAGCCUGGUCUUUCUGUCCCUUCACUGUUUGCAAAGACUCUGCUGUUGGAACUGAAUUGAUGUCAAUACGUGAGCCAGCAGAGUCCAGUCAGCUCUCCAGGGUCAAGAGGGCUAAAAAAAAAAAUAAAAAAUUGAACCCUUAUAUUUUUGUAGUAAGAUCUGUCGCUGAACUUGCACA